rnacentral:rRNA from 1 species
UACAGAGGUCCCGAGCGUUUGUUCGGAUUCAUUGGGCGUAAAGCGUGCGCAGGCGGUUCGCUAAGACCGAUGUGAAAUCCCCGGGCUUAACCUGGGAACUGCAUUGGUGACUGGCGGGCUAGAGUAUGGCAGAGGGGGGUAAAAUUCCACGUGUAGCAGUGAAAUGCGUAGAGAUGUGGAGGAAUACCGAUGGCGAAGGCAGCCCCCUGGGCCAAUACUGACGCUCAUGCACGAAAGCGUGGGGAGCAAACAGG